rnacentral:rRNA from 1 species
UCUGGUUGAUCCUGCCAGUAGUCAUAUGCUUGUCUCAAAGAUUAAGCCAUGCAUGUCUAAGUACAAACCUUAAUACGGUGAAACCGCGAAUGGCUCAUUAAAUCAGCUAUGGUUCCUUAGAUCGUCUCAUCCUACUCGGAUAACUGUGGAAAAUCUAGAGCUAAUACGUGCUUACAAGCCCUGACCUCACGGGAGGGGCGCAUUUAUUAGAUCAAAACCAAUCGGGGCUUGCCCCGUCUGCUUGGUGACUCUGGAUAACUUUUGUGCUGAUCGCAUGGCCUCUGCGCUGGCGACGUAUCUUUCAAGUGUCUGCCCUAUCAACUUACGAUGGUAGGUGAUAUGCCUACCAUGGUUAUAACGGGUAACGGGGAAUCAGGGUUCGAUUCCGGAGAGGGGCCUGAGAAACGGCUACCACAUCUAAGGAAGGCAGCAGGCGCGCAAAUUACCCACUCCCGGCACGGGGAGGUAGUGACGAAAAAUAACGAUACGGGACUCUUUUGAGGCCCCGUAAUUGGAAUGAGUACACUUUAAAUCCGUUAACAAGUAUCUAUUGGAGGGCAAGUCUGGUGCCAGCAGCCGCGGUAAUUCCAGCUCCAAUAGCGUAUAUUAAUGUUGCUGCAGUUAAAAAGCUCGUAGUUGGAUCUGAGGACUCGAAUUGGUGGUGCACCAUACGGUGUUACUGCCGAUUCGGCCUACCUAGUCGGUGCUCGCUCUUGGUGUUCUUAAUUGAAUGCCCUGAGUGCCCGGCAAGUUUACUUUGAAAAAAUUAGAGUGCUCAAAGCAGGCCAUUAGCCGGAAUACUUCAGCAUGGAAUAAUGGAAUAGGACUUCGGUUCUAUUUUGUUGGUUUUCGGAACCCGAGGUAAUGAUUAAGAGAGACAGACGGGGGCAUUCGUACUGCGGUGUUAGAGGUGAAAUUCUUGGAUCGCCGCAAGACGAACAACUGCGAAAGCAUUUGCCAAGAAUGUUUUCAUUAAUCAAGAACGAAAGUCAGAGGUUCGAAGACGAUCAGAUACCGUCCUAGUUCUGACCAUAAACGAUGCCAACUGGCGAUCCGAGAUCGUUUGCUUAUUGACCUCUCGGGCAGCCUCCGGGAAACCAAAGUUUUUAGGUUCCGGGGAAAGUAUGGUUGCAAAGCUGGAACUGUUCAAUUGCAACUCUGCCUGUGACACCAAGUGGUCGGGUUACUUGGUCUGUUCUGGCCCGGAGUCGGUAGGGUUUCCGGCCUUGUGCUCUUUCCUUACUGUUCUCUGUAACGCCGAAGGCGGGGCUUCCACGGUGGGGAAGCGGUUGUACAAAUCCGGCAAAUCCAGCCAAAUGGGUUCCGGACUCUGUCCAACCUGCAACUGGUAACAGCCUCGGCUGGCUAACAUUUGAGCUGGGACUCGCUUGGGAGGAGCGAGGAUAAUAUAAACCUCUAUGUGACUGAGGUGAGGAAUCUGGUUCUCGUAAAAUGGCUGGAGAUCCCGAGCCUGUAAGUCAUAAAUUAGUUCCCCACGAGGGAGGUGUCGAAUUGAAGCCAGUGCGUGCCCUUACUAGUUUAAGGGAUUGUAUACUUCCUUUGGUGUACCCACCUGGAAGUGCCCAAGGGGUCCUAUCCCUGCACU